CGGGAAAGGAGCCGCGGUUAAUGGAUAAUCAGCGCCGCGACCCCUAAAAAAAUCUCCUGGUGUGACCCAGCUCCUGAUCCCAGGGUGAAGGUGAAGCACCUGCCAGCCCAGGAUGUGACACACGAGGUGUCCCCACGUCCUCCGGUGAAGAACAAGGGCAGCAUCCUGCCCUGUGUGCUCCUGUCCUUCCCUAAAUUCUCGAAUCAUUCGUUCCCUAAAUCCCGAGCGCUCCGUGCUGCUUGCCCCUGUGGGUGUCACACUCCUUUUCCACCCCAUCUCUCGUUUAUUUAAUAUGUGGAAAUAAAUGAGUCUUGCUGAGUGUUGCA